UCCUGUAUUUCUUAAUAAUGAAAUAUUACCAGUUUUGACAUUUAACAUUUGAUGGACUUACAUUAACAUUGUGGAUUGAACAACUUAUAUCUAAACAGAGGAUUUUUAUUCUUUUGAUAUACUAAAUUCAGUUUAGAUAUUGUGAGGAAUUCGGAAUGACUACUAAUUGGAUUUGAAUUUGACCAGGACAAGGUUUGGACUAUUCUUGCAUAUUAGAAUUGGACUUAACGGUUAGUUAAUAUUUUCAAGGUAUUUGAACUGUUGAUUUAAAACAUAAAAAAAUUGUUAUUCCUUUCUUUUCACUUACCUUUAGUAUUUUACGUUAUAAGCAUUUUGUUACCCUUAUACGUUACACAAGGUUAUCAUAAUCUGCCGCUGACUGUAGAUGCAGUGGGGAAUAUACGCUUCCAGGGUAACGAGGCUCUGGCUCCGCCGCGUUAACGCAAAAAUAGUUACCUGGGAUCCGAAUAUUCUCAUCUGCAUCUACAAUCAGUGAUAUAUCAUUUUUCUUCCAUAAUGUCUUUUACAAAUUUAAGAAUGAACAAAGCAAAAUGAAAUACUUAUUUUUUAGCAUAACGUUAUGUUUUUUCCCUCGAAGUAACUAAUUUUGAACCGAGAAAUGCAUUUUCAGGAUCAAGAUAUCUGAUUUAUGUAUACUUUUACAUAAAUAGUAUAUAAUCAGUCCACGAAUCGUUAGUUGGUAUUAAUAGCACUAGAAUCUUCUGGCAUUUGGGUUAUAAAUGAAUUUUGCCGACAUUGGUAAAAUAUCAGGAAACGCCUAGUGUUAGUAAUGGCAAUAUGAAAUAUAAAUAUGACAAUAUGAGAAGACACUUAAUAUUCACGCAUAAUGCAAUAUUUAUAGAAUGCCACUAAUAUAUUAACUUUCUUCAAGAAAUGACCAUAUUUUGUAAUGCUUAUGUUUCUUCUUAGUUCUGUUUGAAAAAGCAUUUAAAGUUUCUGCCCGAGAAGAAUGUACCGGCUUCUUAAACAAUUCAAAUCUCAUUGUGCAUGCAGCCUUCCACAGUAUGUAAACUUAUUGACGUACACUGUGCCGAGAUUAACUGCUGGGCUAAGUAUGUACAAAUUCAUCUUAUUUAUUUAUAACAAGAGGUUAAUGUGGAAAACAUAUCGAGACAAAUAUUGCAUGACUUGGAUUAUGGCGAUACUUGUUUUAACUAAAAUGUCAAACUGUUUUACUGAAGACCUCGAUACGAUUAUAAAGUGCUACAGAAAUUACUGCAAUUAGAUAGAGAAAUUCAAGAUCUCAAGCAGAGGAAUUCAUGUAAAGAUAUUCAACCCGUGGCCUUUAUGGCCCAGUUGUCAACCAACCUUCCCGAUCCGCCUAUCGGUACCACAGUCGUGUUUGGUACUGUGCAUAUAAAUAUCGGAAAUGGUUACAAACCUGGACCAGGGGUCUUUGUUGCUCUGGUGGACGGUACAUUCUGCAUCAACCUUGUCGCGUACUAAGUCGACUUCAGCACACCUGCAUCUGUAUAUCAUGCACAACACUUCGAAAGUUGGCUACAUUUUCCUGGAUCAUAACUCUGAUAGAUGGCUGCUAAGAUCGGCAACCAUUGUAUUAGAACUGAAAGCAGAGGACACAAUAUAUGUUAAAAUUGGACAUAAAACCGGAACAGGAACGCUUGCAGGCUGUUGUUUCCAUACUCACUUCAGUGGUUUCCUGAUUAAUUAGGAUAAUUAAUAUAUAUGCCUCAACAGUUAUGUUUAAUAAAGCUGAAAGUACAUGUAGUACCAAAACAAAGUUAAAAGCCUUGAAGUAAAAUGAUUGAAGUACUCAAUUUAUUUGCAGCAGGCGAGUGGUUCUUGAAUAAUUCCAUUGAUGAGGUAUUUGUUAAAUAUUGCGUCAUUUAUUUCACCCGAUUAUUCUUCUUUGUUAAAUGUAAUGUACUUCCGGACAAAGUCUUCAUUUGUAGUUGCGCAUUUUCUUACGAAAAUGCCAGAUAUCAAUCCCCAAGGAAAAUAAAUCUAGACUGCCAGCCAUAACGUUGAAAGAUAUAGCAUUAGGAGGGCUUUAUGAGAAAGGAAAAUAACGCAAAGAAAGAUUAAAUGAGUGAGUACAACAGCAAUUACAACAUCUUUAUUCACUAACUCUUUAUUCAUUUUAUAGGCAGUUAAUUAAUCUCUUAUCUAUAUUGGACAGUUUUAUACAUAAUUUGAAUAAUGAAUACAUGAACAACUUAUGACUUUUUGUCAAAAAUACUCCCUUGUGGAAUCAUGGUUAAACUUUUGGAAAUAUUGUUUUGUAUAUAAUUACUUAAACAAUGAACACAAAUUGUUUAUCUGAAGUGCAAAUGAGCAGGAAGACGAUCAACUGUAUCUCGAUGUGUACGUUUAUUUACGUAGUAAAUGUGACAAUUUUAACAACUGAGAAGUGUUCAAACUAAAGGUUCAAUUAAUUUCCUUAAGAAGAGAAUGUAUAAGGUUAUAUGGAAACUUAAUGUGUGAUAUAGAAAGGCUUAUGAAUAACAAAAUCUGUAAGUAGUUCUUCUAACGCAACCAAGCAAAAUAAUAUCAGACUCUUAAUUUAUUUAUUUUAUUUCAGAAACAGUUAGAAAGAUAUUUUUAUUUCUAUAAGAGGUGCAUCUAAGUAUAAUUAAAUAAGGAUUAGACAGCUCUUUUCAUUAUGUUAUUUUAUCAAUUUUGAGUAUGUUAAUAAAGCUUUAUGUUGGCAAUGUUCUAUAAAUGUAGCCUAAUAGACUUCUAUUAUAGUUCAACUUGGCAACAACAAUUACUAGCAGGUGCUAGUACUAUUAUAAGAAUACAACAUUGAUCUGCCAUUAUCACGAUUGUCCCCGAGUUAAUUAAAUGUCUAGAUUUUUAAGGGAAUGCCAUUGGUAUCUAAAAUAAAAUGGAAUUAUAAAUGUUUAUAAUGGUGCAUGAACGUCAGACCUACAGACUAUAAAAUAAAUAAAUGAAGA